rnacentral:rRNA from 1 species
GCACAAGCGGUGGAGCAUGUGGAUUAAUUCGAUGCAACGCGAAGAACCUUACCUGGGUUUGACAUGCACCAGACGCGUCCAGAGAUGGGCGUUCCCUUGUGGCUGGUGUGCAGGUGGUGCAUGGCUGUCGUCAGCUCGUGUCGUGAGAUGUUGGGUUAAGUCCCGCAACGAGCGCAACCCUUGUCCUAUGUUGCCAGCGGGUGAUGCCGGGGACUCAUCGAAGACUGCCGGGGUCAACUCGGAGGAAGGUGGGGAUGACGUCAAGUCAUCAUGCCCCUUAUGUCCAGGGCUUCACGCAUGCUACAAUGGCCGGUACAAAGGGUUGCGAUGCCGUGAGGUGGAGCGAAUCCCAAAAAGCCGGUCUCAGUUCGGAUCGGGGUCUGCAACUCGACCCCGUGAAGUCGGAGUCGCUAGUAAUCGCAGAUCAGCAACGCUGCGGUGAAUACGUUCCCGGGC